rnacentral:rRNA from 1 species
GUUGAACGCUGGCGGCAGGCCUAACACAUGCAAGUCGAGCGGGGUUUUCGGACCUAGCGGCGGACGGGUGAGUAAUGCGUAGGAAGCUGCCCGAUAGAGGGGGAUACCAGUUGGAAACGACUGUUAAUACCGCAUAAUGUCUACGGACCAAAGUGUGGGACCUUCGGGCCACAUGCUAUCGGAUGCGCCUACGUGGGAUUAGCUAGUUGGUGAGGUAAUGGCUCACCAAGGCGACGAUCUCUAGCUGGUUUGAGAGGAUGAUCAGGCACACUGGAACUGAGACAGGGACCAGACUCCUACGGGAGGCAGCAGUGGGGAAUAUUGGACAAUGGGCGCAAGCCUGAUCCAGCCAUGACGCGUGUGUGAAGAAGGCAUUCGGGUUGUAAAGCACUUUCAGCGAGGAGGAAGGGUGGUGUGUUAAUAGCACAUCAUUUUGACGGUACUCGCAGAAGAAGCACCGGCUAACUCUGUGCCAGCCGCCGCCGUAACAC